rnacentral:rRNA from 1 species
GAUGAACGCUGGCGGCGUGCCUAAUACAUGCCAGUCGAGCGAACAGAUGAGGAGCUUGCUCCUCUGACGUUAGCGGCGGACGGGUGAGUAACACGUGGAUAACCUACCUAUAAGACUGGGAUAACUUCGGGAAACCGGAGCUAAUACCGGAUAAUAUAUUGAACCGCAUGGUUCAAUAGUGAAAGACGGUUUUGCUGUCACUUAUACAUGGAUCCGCGCCGCAUUAGCUAGUUGGUAAGGUAACGGCUUACCAAGGCAACGAUGCGUAGCCGACCUGAGAGGGUGAUCGGCCACACUGGAACUGAGACACGGUCCAGACUCCUACGGGAGGCAGCAGUAGGGAAUCUUCCGCAAUGGGCGAAAGCCUGACGGAGCAACGCCGCGUGAGUGAUGAAGGUCUUCGGAUCGUAAAACUCUGUUAUUAGGGAAGAACAAAUGUGUAAGUAACUAUGCACGUCUUGACGGUACCUAAUCAGAAAGCCACGGCUAACUACGUG